CGAAAUUGGUAGCGUCAUGGUUCUUUGAGCGUCUCACAAGAUGCAUCAGAGCUAAGAGGGAAGCCGGUGCGCAAAUGCAAUGCCGGAGCUGCCCCCGCAACUGUAAGUGGUGAGCCAACAUCCAUUAUGUCACUGGAGCAAACCUCUGGGAAGACGGAUGAAGGUGUUGACCCACGAGCCAGGAGACCUGCCACGACGAAAUAACGUCC
rnacentral:ncRNA from 2 species